UACGUAGGCAGCGAGCGUUGUUCGGUGUCACUGGGCGUAAAGGGUGCGCAGGCGGCCGUGUGUGUGAGGCGUGAAAGCCCGGGGCUCAACCCCGGAAUUGCACCUCAAACUACAUGGCUAGAGCAUUGGAGAGGGUAGCGGAAUUCACGGUGUAGCAGUGAAAUGCGUAGAUAUCGUGAGGAACACCAGAGGCGAAGGCGGCUACCUGGACAAUUGCUGACGCUCAGGCACGAAAGCUUGGGGAGCAAAAGGG
rnacentral:rRNA from 1 species